rnacentral:rRNA from 1 species
UGGGGAAUAUUGCACAAUGGGCGCAAGCCUGAUGCAGCCAUGCCGCGUGUAUGAAGAAGGCCUUCGGGUUGUAAAGUACUUUCAGUCGGGAGGAAGGUGGUAAGGUUAAUAACCUUAUCAAUUGACGUUACCGAUAGAAGAAGCACCGGCUAACUCCGUGCCAGCAGCCGCGGUAAUACGGAGGGUGCAAGCGUUAAUCGGAAUUACUGGGCGUAAAGCGCACGCAGGCGGUUGAUUGAGUCAGAUGUGAAAUCCCCGGGCUUAACCCGGGAAUUGCAUCUGAUACUGGCCAGCUAGAGUCUUGUAGAGGGGGGUAGAAUUCCAUGUGUAGCGGUGAAAUGCGUAGAGAUGUGGAGGAAUACCGGUGGCGAAGGCGGCCCCCUGGACAAAGACUGACGCUCAGGUGCGAAAGCGUGGGGAGCAAACAGG